rnacentral:rRNA from 1 species
UUAAAUUGAAGAGUUUGAUCAUGGCUCAGAUUGAACGCUGGCGGCAGGCCUAACACAUGCAAGUCGAACGGUAACAGGAAGAAGCUUGCUUCUUUGCUGACGAGUGGCGGACGGGUGAGU